UACGGGGGGGGCAAGCGUUGUUCGGAAUUACUGGGCGUAAAGGGCUCGUAGGCGGCCAACUAAGUCAGACGUGAAAUCCCUCGGCUUAACCGGGGAACUGCGUCUGAUACUGGAUGGCUUGAGAUUGGGAGAGGGACGCGGAAUUCCAGGUGUAGCGGUGAAAUGCGUAGAUAUCUGGAGGAACACCGGUGGCGAAGGCGACAUCCUGGACCAACACUGACGCUGAGGAGCGAAAGCCAGGGGAGCAAACGGG
rnacentral:rRNA from 1 species